UUCUUCGGAGAGUUUGAUCCUGGCUCAGGAUGAACGCUGGCGGCGUGCCUAAUACAUGCAAGUCGAGCGAACUGAUUAGAAGCUUGCUUCUAUGACGUUAGCGGCGGACGGGUGAGUAACACGUGGGCAACCUGCCUGUAAGACUGGGAUAACUUCGGGAAACCGAAGCUAAUACCGGAUAGGAUCUUCUCCUUCAUGGGAGAUGAUU
rnacentral:rRNA from 1 species